rnacentral:rRNA from 1 species
AACGAACGCUGGCGGCAGGCUUAACACAUGCAAGUCGAACGCCCCGCAAGGGGAGUGGCAGACGGGUGAGUAACGCGUGGGAAUCUACCCAUCCCUACGGAACAACUCCGGGAAACUGGAGCUAAUACCGUAUACGCCCUUAGGGGGAAGGAUUUAUCGGGGAUGGAUGAGCCCGCGUUGGAUUAGCUAGUUGGUGGGGUAAAGGCCUACCAAGGCGACGAUCCAUAGCUGGUCUGAGAGGAUGAUCAGCCACAUUGGGACUGAGACACAGCCCACACUCCUACGGGAGGCAGCAGUGGGGAAUAUUGGACAAUGGGCGCAAGCCUGAUCCAGCCAUGCCGCGUGAGUGAUGAAGGCCUUAGGGUUGUAAAGCUCUUUCACCGAUGAAGAUAAUGACGGUAGUCGGAGAAGAAGCCCCGGCUAACUUCGUGCCAGCCGCCGCGGUAAAAC